rnacentral:rRNA from 1 species
UACGUAGGGGGCUAGCGUUGUCCGGAAUCAUUGGGCGUAAAGCGCGUGUAGGCGGUCCGGUAAGUCCGCUGUGAAAGUCGGGGGCUCAACCCUCGAAUGCCGGUGGAUACUGUCGGGCUAGAGUGCGGAAGAGGCGAGUGGAAUUCCUGGUGUAGCGGUGGAAUGCGUAGAGAUCGGGAAGAACACCAGUGGCGAAGGCGGCGUUCUGGGUUGCAACUGACGCUGAGAUGCGAAAGUGUGGGGAGCAAACGGG